rnacentral:tRNA from 1 species
GGAAAUAUGGGUUAAAUGGUAGAGCGCUAGCCUUCAGCAAAAAUUCCAAGUUAGAGCUAGAGGCCCUGAGUUAAAGCCUCAGUUCUUGCA